AAUGCGAAGAAAUGGUCUAAUAUUGCUGCACAAUAUUGUGCCCUCAUUGUCAGCAGGAAAAAGGAUACCGAGCUUUACACAGCAAAGGGCAGCAUGAAUGUUGACAGCCCCAAUGGCAGUAGCCAAGGUGGUUUCCAGGAUACCAUGAUUCAUUGCAUUUUUGCAGUGGUAAAAAGUAUUAGGACAAUCCAUUAUUUCAGAGCCAUGAUGUCCAAAGUGGUAUGAUGUUGGUAUUAAUGUCAGCUGUCAACUGCAAGAAAAGCUUCCAGCACGAACAGAUUUUCAUGUCAUUAUAUGAACAGAAUAAAAGGGGGAACCAGUUGUGUGUAAUAAGAACAAGAAGGGAAAAUCCAUUCCACAGACAAUCACCAUUACUUAAUUGCCUUUUGCUGUUGAAAAGUACUUCAACUGGUGUUUCUCCUGCUGUAUUUGAAAACUGGUCCACUCACCCCUGAUGACAGCAUGGUUUCCAAAAAUCAACAGGGGAAGUUUUUUGACAAUUUGGUAAUAACCAAUAUUGUCUAUUACUGACUGCACCUCAAGCUGCUACUGUAUCUUUAAGGCCUUAGGGCCAAGAAAAGCCACAG
rnacentral:lncRNA from 1 species